rnacentral:tRNA from 1 species
GCGGGACUAGCUCAGUUGGUAGAGCACGAGCUUCCCAAGCUCGGGGUCACGGGUUCGAGUCCCGUGUCCCGCU